CGGGGCUCUGGCACAUUGUGACACGGAGCCCGGGCUGAGCACCUGCUCCCUGGUUCUCCACCUGCAGCCAGGAUCUGCCCCCGGCCCCGCUGGGAUCCAGGCCUUCCAUUCUCCUGUUAAAGAAGCACCCCCCAGGCUCCCUCUGCCUGUGUGACUGGCCAGCAGGAGACGGUGUUAACUUUC